AGAAUUAUAUAUGUACUAAGUUAAGAGCAAUUUGAAGAGGACAUCAUCACAAAUAUCAAAAGAUGUACUUUGGUGAAUAUCUGAUUUAAACUUGAAAAAAUAAUCAAGAGGGCUAAGUGAGAGAGAACAAUUUGGAAGAAUAAGACUCUUGAGCUUUGCCGAUUAUUUUAUUCUGUAUUAGAACAAUUAAUACAUGAAACUUGAGUGCUCAAUUGUUUCACUUUAUACAAU
rnacentral:lncRNA from 1 species